CAGUCCCAUCUCUCAUUCUUCACCACAACCAAGAGCACCUGCAAUACCUAUGGAGAUAGGUGCAGUAAGAGGACCCUUAACUUCAGAAGAACGUUACCGCAGAAAAACCAAAAAUCUGUGUAUGUAUUGUGCCAAUCCGGCUCACUCUGUACAGGACUGUCCCAUACUCUUAAAACUAAAGAAAAUGGGAUCUAGAUCAAGUGAUGACUGAUGGGAUUAUUGACUCCGGAGCCUAUGGAUGUUUCAUCGACCACCAUGUUGUAAAAUCUAAUAAAAUACCCACUAUUCAAAAGCA